GACAGAGGGUGCAACCGUUGCUCGGAAUUACUGGGCGUAAAGGGCGCGUAGGCGGCCUGCUAAGUCGGAUGUGAAAUCCCUCGGCUCAACCGAGGAACUGAAUCCGAUACUGGCGGGCUUGAAUCCGGGAGAGGGAUGUGGAAUUCCAGGUGGAGCGGUGAAAUGCGUAGAUAUCUGGAGGAACACCGGUGGCGAAGGCGGCAUCCUGGACCGGUAUUGACGUUGAGGCGCGAAAGCUAGGGGAGCAAACGGG
rnacentral:rRNA from 1 species